UCACCAAAACAAAACGGGAUGACCAGAGAUCUGCCUCCCUGCCUGAAUUCCUGGCAGAGGAAGCAGCAGUUUCUGCUCACAGCCAGAUCCUCUACUACUAUAACCCCUGCUUCAACAGAGCAUAUCCCUGGCUGGUGGAAAGGUGCAUGAGGAGAGCUGCCCUUAAACAGAGAGCCCCAGGUGCAGCAGAGAUGGAUGAAAGCCCCUUCAGAGGCCCAGACAGUCAGCCUGGGCAGUGAGGGCAAGCAGGGCUGGGCUUCACACAGGAGUCUUUCACCCGUGAGGACUGCACUGACCAAGGGAUGGGCUGAAGCACCUCCCAGCACCUGCAGCCCCAACCCUGCACGUGGGCCCCAGACGUGGCACAUCCCGGAGAUCGCAGAGAGCCGGCAGACAGCUGAUUUCUAAUUAAUUUCUAAUUAAAAGCGUUGUUACUAAAUAGAGCCGAAUAGAGUUGGAAUAAAAAUAUUUUAGUCGAGUUGGUAUUAAACCGUUGGAAGAACAACCCUU